rnacentral:rRNA from 1 species
AAUGGACGAAAGUCGUGACGGAGCAACGCCGCGUUGAGUGAUGAAGGUGUUCGGAUGCGUAAAACUCUGUGUGUGUAGGGAAGAACAAGUACCGUUCGAAUGAGGGCGGUACCUUGACGGUACCUAACCAGAAAGCCACGGCUAACUACGUGCCAGCAGCCGCGGUAAUACGUAGGUGGCAAGCGUUGUCCGGAAUUAUUGGGCGUAAAGCGCGCGCAGGCGGUUUCUUAAGUCUGAUGUGAAAGCCCCCGGCUCAACCGGGGAGGGUCAUUGGAAACUGGGGAACUUGAGUGCAGAAGAGGAGAGUGGAAUUCCACGUGUAGCGGUGAAAUGCGUAGAGAUGUGGAGGAACACCAGUGGCGAAGGCGACUCUCUGGUCUGUAACUGACGCUGAGGCGCGAAAGCGUGGGGAGCGAACAGGAUUAGAUACCCUGGUAGUCCACGCCGUAAACGAUGAGUGCUAAGUGUGAGAGGGUUUCCGCCCUUUAGUGCUGCAGCAAACGCAUUAAGCACUCCGCCUGGGGAGUACGGUCGCAAGACUGAAACUCAAAGGAAUNGACGGGGGCCCGCACAAGCGGUGGAGCAUGUGGUUUAAUUCGAAGCAACGCGAAGAACCUUANCNNGUCUUGACAU